GGGUUGUGAGGUUAAGCGACUAAGCGUACACGGUGGAUGCCCUGGCAGUCAGAGGCGAUGAAGGACGUGCUAAUCUGCGAUAAGCGUCGGUAAGGUGAUAUGAACCGUUAUAACCGGCGAUUUCCGAAUGGGGAAACCCAGUGUGAUUCGUCACACUAUCAUUAACUGAAUCCAUAGGUUAAUGAGGCGAACCGGGGGAACUGAAACAUCUAAGUACCCCGAGGAAAAGAAAUCAACCGAGAUUCCCCCAGUAGCGGCGAGCGAACGGGGAGCAGCCCAGAGCCUGAAUCAGUGUGUGUGUUAGUGGAAGCGUCUGGAAAGGCGCGCGAUACAGGGUGACAGCCCCGUACACAAAAAUGCACAUAUUGUGAGCUCGAUGAGUAGGGCGGGACACGUGGUAUCCUGUCUGAAUAUGGGGGGACCAUCCUCCAAGGCUAAAUACUCCUGACUGACCGAUAGUGAACCAGUACCGUGAGGGAAAGGCGAAAAGAACCCCGGCGAGGGGAGUGAAAAAGAACCUGAAACCGUGUACGUACAAGCAGUGGGAGCACGCUUAGGCGUGUGACUGCGUACCUUUUGUAUAAUGGGUCAGCGACUUAUAUUCUGUAGCAAGGUUAACCGAAUAGGGGAGCCGAAGGGAAACCGAGUCUUAACUGGGCGUUAAGUUGCAGGGUAUAGACCCGAAACCCGGUGAUCUAGCCAUGGGCAGGUUGAAGGUUGGGUAACACUAACUGGAGGACCGAACCGACUAAUGUUGAAAAAUUAGCGGAUGACUUGUGGCUGGGGGUGAAAGGCCAAUCAAACCGGGAGAUAGCUGGUUCUCCCCGAAAGCUAUUUAGGUAGCGCCUCGUGAAUUCAUCUCCGGGGGUAGAGCACUGUUUCGGCAAGGGGGUCAUCCCGACUUACCAACCCGAUGCAAACUGCGAAUACCGGAGAAUGUUAUCACGGGAGACACACGGCGGGUGCUAACGUCCGUCGUGAAGAGGGAAACAACCCAGACCGCCAGCUAAGGUCCCAAAGUCAUGGUUAAGUGGGAAACGAUGUGGGAAGGCCCAGACAGCCAGGAUGUUGGCUUAGAAGCAGCCAUCAUUUAAAGAAAGCGUAAUAGCUCACUGGUCGAGUCGGCCUGCGCGGAAGAUGUAACGGGGCUAAACCAUGCACCGAAGCUGCGGCAGCGACGCUUAUGCGUUGUUGGGUAGGGGAGCGUUCUGUAAGCCUGCGAAGGUGUGCUGUGAGGCAUGCUGGAGGUAUCAGAAGUGCGAAUGCUGACAUAAGUAACGAUAAAGCGGGUGAAAAGCCCGCUCGCCGGAAGACCAAGGGUUCCUGUCCAACGUUAAUCGGGGCAGGGUGAGUCGACCCCUAAGGCGAGGCCGAAAGGCGUAGUCGAUGGGAAACAGGUUAAUAUUCCUGUACUUGGUGUUACUGCGAAGGGGGGACGGAGAAGGCUAUGUUGGCCGGGCGACGGUUGUCCCGGUUUAAGCGUGUAGGCUGGUUUUCCAGGCAAAUCCGGAAAAUCAAGGCUGAGGCGUGAUGACGAGGCACUACGGUGCUGAAGCAACAAAUGCCCUGCUUCCAGGAAAAGCCUCUAAGCAUCAGGUAACAUCAAAUCGUACCCCAAACCGACACAGGUGGUCAGGUAGAGAAUACCAAGGCGCUUGAGAGAACUCGGGUGAAGGAACUAGGCAAAAUGGUGCCGUAACUUCGGGAGAAGGCACGCUGAUAUGUAGGUGAAGUCCCUUGCGGAUGGAGCUGAAAUCAGUCGAAGAUACCAGCUGGCUGCAACUGUUUAUUAAAAACACAGCACUGUGCAAACACGAAAGUGGACGUAUACGGUGUGACGCCUGCCCGGUGCCGGAAGGUUAAUUGAUGGGGUUAGCGCAAGCGAAGCUCUUGAUCGAAGCCCCGGUAAACGGCGGCCGUAACUAUAACGGUCCUAAGGUAGCGAAAUUCCUUGUCGGGUAAGUUCCGACCUGCACGAAUGGCGUAAUGAUGGCCAGGCUGUCUCCACCCGAGACUCAGUGAAAUUGAACUCGCUGUGAAGAUGCAGUGUACCCGCGGCAAGACGGAAAGACCCCGUGAACCUUUACUAUAGCUUGACACUGAACAUUGAGCCUUGAUGUGUAGGAUAGGUGGGAGGCUUUGAAGUGUGGACGCCAGUCUGCAUGGAGCCGACCUUGAAAUACCACCCUUUAAUGUUUGAUGUUCUAACGUUGACCCGUAAUCCGGGUUGCGGACAGUGUCUGGUGGGUAGUUUGACUGGGGCGGUCUCCUCCUAAAGAGUAACGGAGGAGCACGAAGGUUGGCUAAUCCUGGUCGGACAUCAGGAGGUUAGUGCAAUGGCAUAAGCCAGCUUGACUGCGAGCGUGACGGCGCGAGCAGGUGCGAAAGCAGGUCAUAGUGAUCCGGUGGUUCUGAAUGGAAGGGCCAUCGCUCAACGGAUAAAAGGUACUCCGGGGAUAACAGGCUGAUACCGCCCAAGAGUUCAUAUCGACGGCGGUGUUUGGCACCUCGAUGUCGGCUCAUCACAUCCUGGGGCUGAAGUAGGUCCCAAGGGUAUGGCUGUUCGCCAUUUAAAGUGGUACGCGAGCUGGGUUUAGAACGUCGUGAGACAGUUCGGUCCCUAUCUGCCGUGGGCGCUGGAGAACUGAGGGGGGCUGCUCCUAGUACGAGAGGACCGGAGUGGACGCAUCACUGGUGUUCGGGUUGUCAUGCCAAUGGCACUGCCCGGUAGCUAAAUGCGGAAGAGAUAAGUGCUGAAAGCAUCUAAGCACGAAACUUGCCCCGAGAUGAGUUCUCCCUGACUCCUUGAGAGUCCUGAAGGAACGUUGAAGACGACGACGUUGAUAGGCCGGAUGUGUAAGCGCAGCGAUGCGUUGAGCUAACCGGUACUAAUGAACCGUGAGGCUUAACCUUACAACGCCGAAGCUGUU
rnacentral:rRNA from 1 species